GCCGUCGCAUGCCGCCCGCAGGUAGUGGUGUCGAGAGCCGAUCCUUGAGGACCGCGCUGUGUGAGGGGUUGCUGGUGGUGGCGCAGUCUGAGUAGGCACUAUGAGUUUGGCUGGGGGCCGGGCCCCCCGGAAGACCGCAGGGAACCGGCUUUCUGGUCUCCUGGAGGCAGAGGAGGAAGAUGAGUUCUACCAGACGACUUAUGGGGGUUUCACUGAGGAAUCAGGAGAUGAUGAGUAUCAAGGGGACCAGUCAGACACAGAGGAUGAGGUGGACUCUGAUUUUGACAUCGACGAAGGAGAUGAACCAUCCAGUGAUGGAGAAACAGAAGAGCCAAGAAGGAAGCGCCGAGUAGUCACCAAAGCGUAUAAGGAGCCUCUUAAGAGCUUGAGGCCUCGAAAGGUCAGCACCCCAGCUGGUAGCUCUCAGAAGACCCGAGAAGAGAAAGCAUUGCUUCCACUAGAACUACAGGAUGAUGGCUCUGACAGUCGGAAGUCCAUGCGUCAGUCUACAGCUGAGCAUACAAGACAGACAUUCCUUCGAGUACAAGAGCGGCAGGGUCAGUCACGGCGGCGAAAGGGGCCCCACUGUGAGCGGCCACUGACCCAGGAGGAGCUGCUCAGGGAGGCUAAGAUCACAGAAGAGCUCAACUUACGUUCACUGGGUCAGUCUAUGGUUUUGAGAACAGUGGGUAGAAGGGCUGAGAAGCAUGAGAUAAACUGAGACCUGGAAGAUCCAAUGAACCAGAAAGAUGGCAAUUUGGGACAAGAGACCUAUGAGCGGCUCGAGGCUGACAAAAAGAAGCAGGUCCAUAAGAAGCGCAAGUGCCCUGGGCCCAUAAUCACCUACCAUUCGGUGACAGUGCCACUUGUUGGGGAACCAGGCCCUAAAGAAGAGAAUGUCGAUGUGGAGGGACUUGAUCCCACUCCCACGGCUUCUGCAUUGACUCCCCGUCCUGGGACUGGACCCGUCGUCCCUCCUGCUCGCUGCUCUCGUACCUUCAUCACUUUCAGUGAUGAUGCGACGUUCGAGGAAUGGUUCCCCCAAGGGCGGCCCCCAAAGGUCCCUGUUCGGGAGGUCUGCCCGGUGACCCAUCGCCCAGCCCUAUACCGGGACCCUGUUACAGACAUACCCUACGCCACUGCUCGAGCCUUCAAGAUCAUCCGUGAGGCCUACAAGAAGUACAUCACUGCCCACGGACUGCCGCCCACUGCCUCAGCCCUGGGUCCUGGCCCACCACCCCCCGAGCCCCUCCCUGGCUCUGGGCCUCGAGCCUUGCGCCAGAAAAUCGUCAUCAAAUGAAGGGAGGUCGAGUCCUUAGAAAGCCCUUUCCUGCCCUAACUUGGGGCUCUUGAUGCCUGUUCCCCCCCCACUUCUUCCCCUUGUCAUCACUGAUCCUUGCCCAGCCCUUUAGUUUUUUUCCCCUAGUUCCUAUUGGUUUCAUGGGUUGUUUUUUUUUUUUUUUAAUCUAAUAAAAUAGAAAGAUCCCUUUUGUCUGGUGUCUAU